GGCCCUGUGGCCUACUGGAUAAGGCGUCGCUAUCCUAAAGCGAAGAUCGCAGGUUCGAGUCCUGUCAGGGUCG
rnacentral:tRNA from 1 species